rnacentral:sRNA from 1 species
ACUUUCUGUAGCGGACAAGGCAAAAUCUCAGCAAGUUCGGACCUCUAGUACAAUAAGGCGAACCUCCUCUUUGGAUACAAUAACAGGACCUUACCUCACGGGACAGUGGCCACGGGAUCCUCAUGUUCACUACCCUUCAUGCAUGAAAGACAAAGCUACUCAGACACCUAGCUGUUGGGCAGAAGAGGGUGCAGAAAAGAGGUCACAUCAGCGUUCUGCGUCAUGGGGGAGUGCUGAUCAACUAAAAGAGAUCGCCAAACUGAGGCAGCAACUACAACGCAGUAAACAGAGUAGUCGUCACAGUAAGGAGAAAGAUCGCCAGUCACCUCUUCAUGGCAACCAUAUAACAAUCAGUCACACUCAGGCUACUGGAUCAAGGUCAGUUCCUAUGCCACUGUCAAAUAUAUCAGUGCCAAAAUCAUCUGUUUCACGUGUGCCCUGCAAUGUAGAAGGAAUAAGUCCUGAAUUAGAAAAGGUAUUCAUUAAAGAAAAUAAUGGGAAGGAAGAAGUAUCCAAGCCGUUGGACAUACCAGAUGGUCGAAGAGCUCCACUUCCUGCUCAUUACCGGAGCAGUAGUACUCGCAGCAUUGACACUCAGACUCCUUCUGUCCAGGAGCGCAGCAGUAGCUGCAGCAGUCAUUCACCCUGUGUCUCCCCUUUUUGUCCCCCGGAAUCCCAGGAUGGUAGCCCUUGCUCAACAGAAGAUUUGCUCUAUGAUCGUGAUAAAGGUCUCGUCAGCCUAUCUCGGCCCCUCUCUUUUCAUGUCCUGACAAAAACAAGGUUAAUUUCAUCCCAACCGGAUCAGCUUUCUGUCCUGUAAAACUUCUAGGCCCCCUCUUACCUGCUUCUGACCUUAUGCUCAAGAACUCUCCUAACUCUGGCCAGAGCUCAGCUUUGGCAACUCUGACCGUUGAGCAGCUCUCAUCCCGGGUUUCCUUUACGUCUCUUUCUGAUGACACCAGCACAGCGGGCUCCAUGGAGGCCUCUGUCCAGCAGCCAUCCCAGCAGCAGCAGCUCCUGCAGGAACUGCAGGGUGAGGACCACAUCUCUGCUCAGAACUAUGUGAUCAUCUAAAAAAGGGGGAGCUGGCCUCCACCCUAUGUUCCAUGGAUUCGGAACAAGAUUUCAGACAUCUGCAUGAGUGACAAACUUUCUGAACGCCACCACCACCAGUAAUACUUAUCAGCAUCAUAAAGUAUCUCUUAAACACUGAUCUUGGCAGGGACGGAACUCCUAUUCAGCAGUUUUUGUGGAAAGCAGUAAUGCUUGCAAAACGUGUGUGUCAUUCAGCAUUUUAAGUGGAGACUAUGCAUUUCAUAGUAUAUUUGACAGAUUAGUACUGUGUCCUGUGUUUUGUUCCAGAUUCUUCAGUAUAAAUAAGCUCUAUAUCAAAAAGUUGCCUGUCUAAAUAGAAAAUGUCUUGCUGUGUUUUGUCCUAUGGAAAAUACUGUAAUUCAGGAUUAUGUUUACAAUUG